rnacentral:rRNA from 1 species
UGUGAGCUCGAUGAGUAGGGCGGGACACGUGGUAUCCUGUCUGAAUAUGGGGGGACCAUCCUCCAAGGCUAAAUACUCCUGACUGACCGAUAGUGAACCAGUACCGUGAGGGAAAGGCGAAAAGAACCCCGGCGAGGGGAGUGAAAAAGAACCUGAAACCGUGUACGUACAAGCAGUGGGAGCACGCUUAGGCGUGUGACUGCGUACCUUUUGUAUAAUGGGUCAGCGACUUAUAUUCUGUAGCAAGGUUAACCGAAUAGGGGAGCCGAAGGGAAACCGAGUCUUAACUGGGCGUUAAGUUGCAGGGUAUAGACCCGAAACCCGGUGAUCUAGCCAUGGGCAGGUUGAAGGUUGGGUAACACUAACUGGAGGACCGAACCGACUAAUGUUGAAAAAUUAGCGGAUGACUUGUGGCUGGGGGUGAAAGGCCAAUCAAACCGGGAGAUAGCUGGUUCUCCCCGAAAGCUAUUUAGGUAGCGCCUCGUGAAUUCAUCUCCGGGGGUAGAGCACUGUUUCGGCAAGGGGGUCAUCCCGACUUACCAACCCGAUGCAAACUGCGAAUACCGGAGAAUGUUAUCACGGGAGACACACGGCGGGUGCUAACGUCCGUCGUGAAGAGGGAAACAACCCAGACCGCCAGCUAAGGUCCCAAAGUCAUGGUUAAGUGGGAAACGAUGUGGGAAGGCCCAGACAGCCAGGAUGUUGGCUUAGAAGCAGCCAUCAUUUAAAGAAAGCGUAAUAGCUCACUGGUCGAGUCGGCCUGCGCGGAAGAUGUAACGGGGCUAAACCAUGCACCGAAGCUGCGGCAGCGACGCUUAUGCGUUGUUGGGUAGGGGAGCGUUCUGUAAGCCUGUGAAGGUGUGCUGUGAGGCAUGCUGGAGGUAUCAGAAGUGCGAAUGCUGACAUAAGUAACGAUAAAGCGGGUGAAAAGCCCGCUCGCCGGAAGACCAAGGGUUCCUGUCCAACGUUAAUCGGGGCAGGGUGAGUCGACCCCUAAGGCGAGGCCGAAAGGCGUAGUCGAUGGGAAACAGGUUAAUAUUCCUGUACUUGGUGUUACUGCGAAGGGGGGACGGAGAAGGCUAUGUUGGCCGGGCGACGGUUGUCCCGGUUUAAGCGUGUAGGCUGGUUUUCCAGGCAAAUCCGGAAAAUCAAGGCUGAGGCGUGAUGACGAGGCACUACGGUGCUGAAGCAACAAAUGCCCUGCUUCCAGGAAAAGCCUCUAAGCAUCAGGUAACAUCAAAUCGUACCCCAAACCGACACAGGUGGUCAGGUAGAGAAUACCAAGGCGCUUGAGAGAACUCGGGUGAAGGAACUAGGCAAAAUGGUGCCGUAACUUCGGGAGAAGGCACGCUGAUAUGUAGGUGAAGUCCCUUGCGGAUGGAGCUGAAAUCAGUCGAAGAUACCAGCUGGCUGCAACUGUUUAUUAAAAACACAGCACUGUGCAAACACGAAAGUGGACGUAUACGGUGUGACGCCUGCCCGGUGCCGGAAGGUUAAUUGAUGGGGUCAGCGCAAGCGAAGCUCUUGAUCGAAGCCCCGGUAAACGGCGGCCGUAACUAUAACGGUCCUAAGGUAGCGAAAUUCCUUGUCGGGUAAGUUCCGACCUGCACGAAUGGCGUAAUGAUGGCCAGGCUGUCUCCACCCGAGACUCAGUGAAAUUGAACUCGCUGUGAAGAUGCAGUGUACCCGCGGCAAGACGGAAAGACCCCGUGAACCUUUACUAUAGCUUGACACUGAACAUUGAGCCUUGAUGUGUAGGAUAGGUGGGAGGCUUGGAAGUGUGGACGCCAGUCUGCAUGGAGCCGACCUUGAAAUACCACCCUUUAAUGUUUGAUGUUCUAACGUUGACCCGUAAUCCGGGUUGCGGACAGUGUCUGGUGGGUAGUUUGACUGGGGCGGUCUCCUCCUAAAGAGUAACGGAGGAGCACGAAGGUUGGCUAAUCCUGGUCGGACAUCAGGAGGUUAGUGCAAUGGCAUAAGCCAGCUUGACUGCGAGCGUGACGGCGCGAGCAGGUGCGAAAGCAGGUCAUAGUGAUCCGGUGGUUCUGAAUGGAAGGGCCAUCGCUCAACGGAUAAAAGGUACUCCGGGGAUAACAGGCUGAUACCGCCCAAGAGUUCAUAUCGACGGCGGUGUUUGGCACCUCGAUGUCGGCUCAUCACAUCCUGGGGCUGAAGUAGGUCCCAAGGGUAUGGCUGUUCGCCAUUUAAAGUGGUACGCGAGCUGGGUUUAGAACGUCGUGAGACAGUUCGGUCCCUAUCUGCCGUGGGCGCUGGAGAACUGAGGGGGGCUGCUCCUAGUACGAGAGGACCGGAGUGGACGCAUCACUGGUGUUCGGGUUGUCAUGCCAAUGGCACUGCCCGGUAGCUAAAUGCGGAAGAGAUAAGUGCUGAAAGCAUCUAAGCACGAAACUUGCCCCGAGAUGAGUUCUCCCUGACUCCUUGAGAGUCCUGAAGGAACGUUGAAGACGACGACGUUGAUAGGCCGGGUGUGUAAGCGCAGCGAUGCGUUGAGCUAACCGGUACUAAUGAACCGUGAGGCUUAACCUUACAACGCCGAAG